AGCGAACGCUGGCGGCAGGCUUAACACAUGCAAGUCGAACGGAUCCUUCGGGAUCAGUGGCGGACGGGUGAGUAACACGUGGGAAUGUGCCUUUAGGUUCGGAACAACUCAGGGAAACUUGAGCUAAUACCGGAUAAGCCCUUUUGGGGAAAGAUUUAUCGCCUUUAGAGCAGCCCGCGUCUGAUUAGCUAGUUGGUGAGGUAAGAGCUCACCAAGGCGACGAUCAGUAGCNGGUCUGAGAGGAUGGCCAGCCACACUGGGACUGAGACACGGCCCAGACUCCUACGGGAGGCAGCAGUGGGGAAUCUUGCGCAAUGGGCGAAAGCCUGACGCAGCCAUGCCGCGUGGAUGAUGAAGGUCUUAGGAUUAGUAAAAUCCUUUC
rnacentral:rRNA from 1 species